rnacentral:rRNA from 1 species
CAAUAGCGUAUAUUAAAGUUGUUGCAGUUAAAAAGCUCGUAGUUGGACCUUGGACCUGGACAGGCGGUCCGCCUCACGGCGUGUACUGUCUUGCUGGGUCUUUCCUCUUGGUGAUCUGUUGUUUCGGCAGCAGGGAACCAGGACUUUUACUUUGAAAAAAUUAGAGUGUUCAAAGCAGGCUCGACGCCGGAAUAUAUUAGCAUGGAAUAAUAAAAUAGGACGUGCGGUUCUAUUUUGUUGGUUUUUGGAAUCGCCGUAAUGAUUAAUAGGGACAGUCGGGAGCAUUAGUACUCACAUGCUAGAGGUGAAAUUCUUGGAUUUUGUGAAGACUAACUUCUGCGAAAGCAUUUGCCAAGGAUGUUUUCAUUAA